rnacentral:lncRNA from 1 species
UAUAUGCCUUCCUUCGUUCGCUAGGUCAAACACAAGCUCUCUCUGUCUGAACACCGGAUCUCGCGCUGCGACGCGAGCAAUAACUCUAUGUAUGUGUUGGUCGAUUUAGCUAUUGCCAAAUCGCGCGCAAGCAUACGCGGUCCACAAGUAAUAUAAGUAAGUAAAGUGUCGAACCCACGAGGAUGAAGUCUCAAACGAAAACAAAUACUAAGGUAGAGUCAUCACUGAUCUUAUCUAAACAAGCAAUUAAGAAUGUUGGUUAAGCUUUAUGAUUAUAAAUGGAAAUAACGUGAGAAAUGGUUGUGCUAAGAAGUCAAGAUAGGAUUACAACUCCCCUAAUACGUCACUUAAUCUCCUAACUCUCCAUAUUACAAACAAAUCAAGGAAUGGCCAACCGAAAGAAGUAAUUACGCAAAAGCUUCUGUCGAAGGUCAAAUGCACAUCCUUAACUGGCUAAAACACAAUAUGUCUAUUAGUGACAAUAACUCGGUCAAGGUCAUUAAGCUAAGUCUCAAGAUCACACAAGGCACAUAGAGAUAUGUCUAUCUCAUGAGCAUAUUAUACACACAUUCCAUAGGCAUGGUUAUAACAGGUGUCGCUGUAUUUAAAAAUUAGAUAAUAACAUUCAUUUGUCAAUGUCCAUUAUUAUCAAUACCAAAAACUCUGUCAAACAAUCAGUCAUUAAAUACUAAAUACAACAACCCAUUCCAAAAUGAUUCAUUAUAUAUAAUAGGAGAGAAAGUUGAUCAAGCUAAACAAAAG